GACGAACGCUGGCGGCGUGCUUAACACAUGCAAGUCGAACGGUAAGGCCCUUCGGGGUACACGAGUGGCGAACGGGUGAGUAACACGUGGGUGAUCUGCUCUGCACUUCGGGAUAAGCCUGGGAAACUGGGUCUAAUACCGGAUAGGACCACUGCCUGCAUGGGUGGUGGUGGCAAGCUUUUGCGGUGUGGGAUGGGCCCGCGGCCUAUCAGCUUGUUGGUGGGGUGAUGGCCUACCAAGGCGACGACGGGUAGCCGGCCUGAGAGGGUGACCGGCCACACUGGGACUGAGAUACGGCCCAGACUCCUACGGGAGGCAGCAGUGGGGAAUAUUGCACAAUGGGCGCAAGCCUGAUGCAGCGACGCCGCGUGAGGGAUGACGGCCUUCGGGUUGUAAACCUCUUUCAGCACCGACGAAGCGCAAGUGACGGUAGGUGCAGAAGAAGGACCGGCCAACUACGUGCCAGCAGCCGCCGUAA
rnacentral:rRNA from 1 species